ACGCUCGACACCUACGGAAGGCAGCAGUAGGGAAUCUUCCACAAUGGACGCAAGUCUGAUGGAGCAACGCCGCGUGAGUGAAGAAGGUCUUCGGAUCGUAAAACUCUGUUGUUAGAGAAGAACACGAGUGAGAGUAACUGUUCAUUCGAUGACGGUAUCUAACCAGCAAGUCACGGCUAACUACGUGCAGCAGCCGCGGUAAUCUGAGCGGGCUGGCAAGGC
rnacentral:rRNA from 1 species